UUUUCCUCAAUGAAAGAAAUACAGAUCCAAAGUGAUGGGCCCUUGUGAGUUCCCUGGUGGCCUGGUGGUUAGGAUUCUAGGCUUUCACUAUCAUGGCCUGGGUUCAAUCCCUAGUCUGGGAACUGAGAUCCCGUAAGCCGAAUGGUGUGGCCAAAA